rnacentral:rRNA from 1 species
CCUACGGGUGGCUGCAGUGGGGAAUAUUGGACAAUGGGGGCAACCCUGAUCCAGCAAUGCCGCGUGAGUGAUGAAGGCCUUCGGGUUGUAAAGCUCUUUUGCCAGGGACGAUGAUGACGGUACCUGGAGAAUAAGCCCCGGCUAACUUCGUGCCAGCAGCCGCGGUAAUACGAAGGGGGCAAGCGUUGUUCGGAAUUACGGGGCGUAAAGGGCGCGUAGGCGGCUUAUCAAGUCAGGCGUGAAAUUCCCGGGCUCAACCUGGGGGCUGCGCUGGAUACUGAUGAGCUUGAAUGCGGGAGAGGAUAGUGGAAUUCCCAGUGUAGUGGUGAAAGUCGUAGAUAUUGGGAAGAACACCGGUGGCGAAGGCGGCUAUCUGGCCCGUAAUUGACGCUGAGGCGCGAAAGCGUGGGGAGCAAACAGGAUUAGAUACCCUAGUAGUC